rnacentral:misc_RNA from 1 species
AUGAUAAAGUUUGUUAGGCAAAAGAGUCGCGAGCAUUCAGUUAAAGCAUCAAAAAGUUUUUUUAAGAAAAAGGGCGAGUCGAAUGAUUCCGGUACCGAAUCUGAUGGUGACGUCCUAGAUGUUGACAAGCAUCGCCCUUUAGACUUGGACAUGGAAACCAGCUUAAGCUCCUGCGCCGAUGUGAAUUCGCCAACAACAGACACCGCCUGCUCUUCGUCAGCGUCUUCUGCGAUGAUGUGUCAAUCCCACCUUUUAUACGAUCAACACAGCUCCGAAGAGGAACUGGAAGUGAUCAAUGGCCCAUCAUCGGUAGCAGCCGCCGAAGCGGCAUCCAAUGUAUUGGUGGUGCGUGGCACCACCUCAUCACUCAUAUCGGAGCGUGGCUCGUCGUCGUUGGAGCCCGAAGAGCUAUUCGGCGAAGCAUCGACAUCGAAACGUUCCAGCUCAACUUUGGUUGAGAAUCGCAAACGAUCUCUGGCGCAUAGCUCCGAUGAUGACCAGCUGAGAAACUUCUUGGAACCAGUAUUGACACCAGUGAAUUUUCGCACAUCACCACCAUUGGAAGCUUUCAAGCCAAACCGCAGCCACAAAUAUCGCUCCACAACGCCACUGAUACUAUCGGAGGCGCGUUGCGGCAUCGAAAAUAUUAAAUUAUGUGAUAAUAGUGUUAAUGACGAAAAUGGUGAGGCUGCUGCUGGCGGCGCGUCGUCAUGUGCCGCAACAGCGGCGUCGGGUGCGUCUAGUGGCAAUGCCGCACAGGCCGGCAGUGCAUGCGCUGGCGACAACAGUUCAACGAGUGUGAUUAAGGUGUGCGCCUCAUCGCUUAAGAUGAGCAAUAGCAGCCAUCAUAUCUAUCAGCCGCAACCCAAAUAUAAUUUCCACUAUAAUAGUUCGCGCAGUAGUCCCGCAUCGACGACCGGUCUCGAUGCGAUGGAGGUGCGCUCGGUUAGUCCACCGGCGAAACUCUUCCAUUCGGCUAGAUCACCACACCGCCGACCGAUACGCACACAACACGCCACACAGAGGCUACAGCGACCACAUCGGCCGUGUUUAGAUUUUGAUAAAAUGCAGCAAGUAAGUCUCUAAUGCAGCGCCAAAUCAAAGACUUUUUACUUCUCACUAAUUACAAGUAAAUGUACCUAAAAGCUCGCAUUACCCAUAACGAAAACGUGAAAUUAAAGAAAACGAAGCAAAUACACGAUUGCAAGCAUGAUGAUUACAAGAGACAGAGAGAGAGAGAAAGAGAUAGAGAGAGGCAGGAAGAGAACGGAGUGGGAGAGAGAGAUGUUGCAGAUUUGGCAAUGAAAUGCAAAUGAAUUCGAUGAAAAUUAUGUUUAUGGCGGUUUUGAUGGUGAGAUAAAGUAUACAUAUGAAGAGGAGUAAAAAGCAGAAGAAAAGCAGGAGGCGCUGGAAGUGAAGCACAAAGAGAAGGCGCAACAAGUAUUGGCGCAAGAGAGAGAGAGAGAGAGAGCGAGCACGGAUCAAGCCAGCGCGUGCAAUUAUAGAGAAAAUGAAGAGCAACUGGAGCUGUAGGUGUGGGCACGAGGGGGAGCGAAAGAGCGCGAGAGAGAAUGAAAGACACAACGCAAGUUGGAGAGGCCCCGGUAAAAUUGUUUAAAAUAAACAAAAUAUAUACAUACAUACUUACAAACAAAUAGAAGCAGAAGCGUACAUAUUUUUUCACCAUUUUAAAUUACAACAGAAAGCAACAACAACAAAAACAAUAUAUUGAGCAAACAACAUUAAUUACAAAUUAAGCAAAUUGAUGUAAAAACAGUGUGAAGACAGAAUUGGUAACGGUAAUAAUUAAGAUGUAAUGGAGGAAAGCAAAAAUUCAAACACAAAUAAAGCGGAAAUAGAAAGAAAGCAUACAAAAAGCAAAAAAAAAAACAAAAAACAUAAGAGAAACAGUUAAUUAAAGGGGCGUGAGAGC